AAGCUGAAAGUGCAUGCAUUCAAAAUAUGCAAGAUAUAUCGCAGCUAAAGUAUGGCAGUGCUUCUAAUUUGAGCAAUACAUAUAUUGAAAUGCUUGAAGAUUGUGAUAGAUUGGACAAUGAAUCUGUUGUGCAUAUUGGGUCAACCUCUUAUGAAGUGAUAAAUCCUUUCAUGUUAAACAGCUAUUUUGAUUAUGGGAUAGAACAAAUUGAAAUUGUUUUUGUUCCUAGAAUCACCAGUACCACUUCUCUUGAGGAAAAGAGAGGAGACAAUCUGUGGGUUCUCUUAAAGCAUCAGCUCAAUAGGAGUCAUCAACCAUGCAGAAGAUGUUGAAGUGCCAUUGGUUUUGCAUUGAAACUUGCUCUUUCAACUCAGAAAAUCCAGAAAGAAAGCAUGGACUAUCUAGCUUCAUUUAGGGUUGAGCUAAAAGAUAAUUAUUGUUUAUGUACUCUGAUAAACUGAAAACACAUAUUGAUAAUAAAAAUACCUGCAGCAAAGCGCGGGCUAUCUAUCUAGUGAGGUUGAACAGUCAGUUGGGGUCAGGGACUUGCUUUGCACCUUUGACAAUUGGCCCAACUGCAACGUUGGAAGUUCUAACAGAAAAGAUGAUGGUAUGAAGCACUUUGGAUUGGAACUGUCUUUAAGAAGUUCGGAUGGUUCACACAAGGAAGUGACUGAGGAGAGGCCUGCACUGAAACAUUCUGAUGCCUCUACCUUUUCACGGAGGCAAGAGCUGUCAAGAAGAGAAAACAAGAAGAGUAUACAGAACAUAUAAGGGGUUAUAUGGCUGAGGGUUUAGCAAUAUGUCUAUCAAGGAGAUCAAGGGCAUGGAGACCAAACUUGAGAAAGCAAUUAGCAGAAUUAGAUCCAAGAAGGAUUGGAAGAUAUGUUCUCUUAAAAGAAAAGCAGUUACUCAAAGCUUAGUUGUGCAUAAAAAUAGAAGGGCAAAGGAGGCAUGGUGAAAAAGAAAAGGAGAGGAGAGAGGGAAAAGAAAGACGGGACGACAGGGAUUUUAACCAUGAUGGCAGAAGGGACUUCAACAUGCAGCGUUUUCCACACAAAUGGAAAUCCACUCGUAGAAGUGAAGACGUACUUAGCUGCUGACCAAUUGCAUCAAGGUGGGGAAGACAAUGAAAGCCUGGGUGAACAUCUCAUUUCAUCUUCUCAUGACGAUAAAAAUUUUGCAAAAAGUGAGAAUUGUGAUGUUUUUGUGCAAAGGAGCAAUUUUAUGAAAACUUCAUUUGUUUUCUGGAUGUGUUAGUGUGCACAACCAAGUAGCUAAAACU